CCUACGGGAGGUAGCAGUGGGGAAUAUUGGGCAAUGGGCGCAAGCCUGACCCAGCAACGCCGCGUGAAGGAAGAAGGCUUUCGGGUUGUAAACUUCUUUUAAGGGGGAAGAGCAGAAGACGGUACCCCUUGAAUAAGCCACGGCUAACUACGUGCCAGCAGCCGCGGUAAUACGUAGGUGGCAAGCGUUGUCCGGAUUUACUGGGUGUAAAGGGCGUGCAGCCGGGUUGACAAGUCAGAUGUGAAAUCCACGGGCUCAACCCGUGAACUGCAUUUGAAACUGUUUCCCUUGAGUGUCGGAGAGGUAAACGGAAUUCCUUGUGUAGCGGUGAAAUGCGUAGAUAUAAGGAAGAACACCAGUGGCGAAGGCGGAUUACUGGACGAUAACUGACGGUGAGGCGCGAAAGCGUGGGGAGCAAACAGGAUUAGAUACCCUAGUAGUC
rnacentral:rRNA from 1 species